GCUCCGGUUGCCUAGUAGUUAGAGCAUCCGCCUCGCAUGCGGGAGGUCGUGGGUUCGAUCCCCGGUCGAGUCA